GGGAGAGGCAGGGAGCCGGCAAGGACUGCUAAUCCUCUGCCCCUUUGGUUCAACUCCAAAGCUCACCCG
rnacentral:tRNA from 1 species